ACGCACGCUGGCGGCAUGCCUAACCCCUGCCAGUCGCACGAGACCUUCGGGUCUAGUGGCGCACGGGUGCGUAACGCGUGGGAACCUGCCCUUAGGUUCGGAAUAACUCCCCGAAAGGGGUGCUAAUACCGGAUAAUGUCUUCGGACCAAAGAUUUAUCGCCUUUGGAUGGGCCCGCGUUGGAUUAGCUAGUUGGUAGGGUAAAAGCCUACCAAGGCGACGAUCCAUAGCUGGUCUGAGAGGAUGAUCAGCCACACUGGGACUGAGACACGGCCCAGACUCCUACGGGAGGCAGCAGUGGGGAAUAUUGGACAAUGGGCGAAAGCCUGAUCCAGCAAUGCCGCGUGAGUGAUGAAGGCCUUAGGGUUGUAAAGCUCUUUUACCCGGGAUGAUAAUGGCAGUACCGGGAGAAUAAGCUCCGGCUAACUCCGUG
rnacentral:rRNA from 1 species